rnacentral:rRNA from 1 species
CCGCUCUGCAUUGUAGCUAGUUGGUAAGGUUUACGGCUUACCAAGGCAACGAUGCAUAGCCGACCUUGAGAGGGUGAUCGGCCACACUGGAACUGAGACACGGUCCAGACUCCUACGGGAGGCAGCAGUAGGGAAUCUUCCGCAAUGGGCGUAAGCCUGACGGAGCAACGCCGCGUGAGUGAUGAAGGUCUUCGGAUCGUUAAACUCUGUUAUUAGGGAAGAACAUAUGUGUAAGUAACUGUGCACAUCUUGACGGUACCUAAUCAGAAAGCCACGGCUAACUACGUGCCAGCAGCCGCGGUAAUACGUAGGUGGCAAGCGUUAUCCGGAAUUAUUGGGCGUAAAGCGCGCGUAGGCGGUUUUUUAAGUCUGAUGUGAAAGCCCACGGCUCAACCGUGGAGGGUCAUUGGAAACUGGAAAACUUGAGUGCAGAAGAGGAAAGUGGAAUUCCAUGUGUAGCUGGUGAAAUGCGCAGAGAUAUGGAGGAACACCAGUGGCGAAGGCGACUUUCUGGUCUGUAACUGACGCUGAUGUGUGAAAGCGUGGGGAUCGAACAGGAUUAGAUACCCUGGUAGUCCACGCCGUAAACGAUGAGUGCUAAGUGUUAGGGGGUUUCCGCCCCUUAGUGCUGCAGCUAACGCAUUAAGCACUCCGCCUGGAAGAGUACGAGCCGUCAAGGUUG